rnacentral:rRNA from 1 species
AGUGAACGCUGGCGGUAGGCCUAACACAUGCAAGUCGAACGGCAGCACAGUAAGAGCUUGCUCUUACGGGUGGCGAGUGGCGGACGGGUGAGGAAUACAUCGGAAUCUACUUUUUCGUGGGGGAUAACGUAGGGAAACUUACGCUAAUACCGCAUACGACAUACGGGUGAAAGCAGGGGAUCUUCGGACCUCGCGCGUUUGAAUGAGCCGAUGUCGGAUUAGCUAGUUGGCGGGGUAAAGGCCCACCAAGGCGACGAUCCGUAGCUGGUCUGAGAGGAUGAUCAGCCACACUGGAACUGAGACACGGUCCAGACUCCUACGGGAGGCAGCAGUGGGGAAUAUUGGACAAUGGGCGCAAGCCUGAUCCAGCCAUACCGCGUGGGUGAAGAAGGCCUUCGGGUUGUAAAGCCCUUUUGUUGGGAAAGAAAAGCAGCAGGUUAAUACCCCGCUGUUCUGACGGUACCCAAAGAAUAAGCACCGGCUAACUUCGUG